ACACAUGAAAAACAUGUAACGCGUCAAACACGUGCUCUGAACAAUUCAAAUGAUUUCAUAUUCCAUCUCUUCCCUCCACCGCGCUAGAGCUCACUGUCAGCGGCGGUGGAGCAGCAUACCAUGAAAUAAAACAUACAUAAACACUCCAAAUUUCAAGCUCAGUUCAAAUCCACAAUCAGAAAUACCUAAUUCCUCAAAACAUUUCCAAAUCGAAGCAUGAAGAUCAAUAACCCUAAAACUUCCAACAAAAAUUAAAUGAAGGAUAGCAAGAAUCAGAGCCCUAGAUGUUAGGGCUUUGAUUUGUCUCAGCAAAGGCUACAUUGUGGUAACUUACUUGAAGUAAUUGAUGAAGAUAGAAGAUGCACUCACCGGAACAGGCGCCAGAAAUUUCAAGUAAUCUCUCUGAAAUUUCUCAUAUUUUCUUCUCCUUGCUUCUUCUUCUUCUAAACCUCUUCUGAAAUUGAGAAUCGUGUGAGUGGAAGAUGAAUUCGAGAGGGAGAGAAAGUCUGAGUUCUGAGAUUUCAAAAAUGAAUUAUGAUUGAGAGUGAUUUAAAGUGAUUGAAGAUGAUUGAAUAUUUGAGAGACUUUAAUGAAUAAGGGUGAAAGGUAUUUAUAGAGGAUGUGAUUCACGGAUUUGUUAACUCAGUUAGAUGGUGAAAGUGGAAAUCAGUUGGCAGUUAGACACGGGGUUAAAUCAGUUAGUUGAGUUAGUUAGUUUGAUUCAGUUAGUGUUAAAUGAGAUGGAACUGAAUUUCAGAUGUGGUUAACUGGUUUUGAAUGAAAAAAGAUUUUCUACUAUAAUUGCAAUUUCUGUUAAGUGAGUUAAACUCAUUUGUAAUUUUUUGUUAAGGUGCAGUUAAGUCUGUUAGUUGAUUGGAAAUGUAGGUUAAGUAGUUAAUGCAAAUGAUUGUUAGCUAUUAUGGAUUAAAUGUUAGGUAAUGAUGAAAUUUUGCUUUGAAGACUUGCUCGGUUUUGAAUUGGUCCUGCUGAAUGCAAUGAAAUAUUGUUGUUAAUGUAAACUGAAUGCAAUGUGAAUGAUGAUGUGUUGCUAUUGCAUGUAUAUUGGUUUGUUCAAGAUUGUUUUGUAUGGAUCUGAACUGAUGCAGGUGUUUGUGAUCAGGCUGCUGCGGGGCCAUGCUUGGAGUGCAGAACAUGGUUCAAGGCUGAUAUGAUGAUGACCAUGGUUUGAUGUAGCAUAUGGCAGGGCAAUGUUUGUAUGUUGUUUGCAGCAAGUUACAACAUGAUACAUGUGUGUGGUAGGAUGCAAUGCAGGGGCUUGUGAGGCAAGGCAAGGCAAAUGACCUAAGUGGCAACUUGGCAAGACAUGGUUUACAAGGCAAAAAUGACCAUGGUCAUGGCAUGGUGUGGUCACUUUUAAAAAAAGGGAAUUUCUUGUUUGUAAAGUCAUACGGGAACUCAUGAAUCAUGUAUGGAUAGAAUGCAAUUAGAAUUAGGUUUAGGAUGAAAAAAUGUAAUGGUUGACUUUGGUCAACUGGUUGACCAAAAAGUCAACAGUUCAUCAAAAGU